UUUUAUGAAUUUAUGAUUCAGGGUUCAGGGUCUCCUACGGUCCCCCUUUCCCAUUUCUCCACACCUCCUUGACCCCCCCCCCCCCCCCCCGCAGCGCUUCUUCUAUCCAGAGUAGUGCACGCCCUGUAGACAUCGGAGCUUGUGCACGCGCAACGGGCUUCCUUUCGAGAUUAGGGUGCGCGCUAUGUGCUGCCAAAUAGACCCUUUGUGUACGCGCUGUGGGUCUGGAGGAUGGCUCCGAUCUGAAUAGAGCUCAACAGGUGGAACUGCAUAAGGAGGAUACCAGCAGAGACCAGCUUGACAAUAGGAAAGAACUUCCUUGGGGAGCAAAAUUGGAACUGCCACCUAUGGUCAUAGAGCCAGACAGGAUGGCUCCGAUCUGAAUAGAGCUCAACAGGUGGAACUGCAUAAGGAGGAUACCAGCAGAGACCAGCUUGACAAUAGGAAAGAACUUCCUUGGGGAGCUAAAUUGGAACUGCCACCUAUGGUCAUAGAGCCAGACAGGUAGUGGAGAGAUUUCUAUCAUUUCCAUUGCCUGAGAGGGAUGUCCAAUAAUAAUUCCUUUCUUGGCUUCUAUUUUUAAUAUUAAAGGGAUUUCUCAACCCCAGGACGAAUAUUUUUUUC
rnacentral:lncRNA from 1 species